rnacentral:tRNA from 1 species
GCGGAAGUAGUUCAGUGGUAGAAUACAACCUUGCCAAGGUUGGGGUCGCGGGUUCGAAUCCGUCUUCCGCUCCA